UGGGGAAUAUUGGACAAUGGGGGAAACCCUGAUCCAGCGAUGCCGCGUGAGUGAAGAAGGCCCUAGGGUUGUAAAGCUCUUUCAGUGGGGAAGAUAAUGACGGUACCCAAAGAAGAAGCACCGGCUAACUCCGUGCCAGCAGCCGCGGUAAUACGGAGGGUGCAAGCGUUGUUCGGAAUUACUGGGCGUAAAGAGCGCGUAGGCGGUCUUAUAAGUCAGACGUGAAAGCCCUGGGCUUAACCCAGGAUGUGCGUUUGAUACUGUAAGGCUAGAGGACCAGAGAGGUGAGUGGAAUUCCUAGUGUAGAGGUGAAAUUCGUAGAUAUUAGGAGGAACAUCAGUGGCGAAGGCGGCUCACUGGCUGGUAACUGACGCUGAGGCGCGAAAGCGUGGGGAGCAAA
rnacentral:rRNA from 1 species